UAUUGCACUUUUCCCGGCCUGU
rnacentral:ncRNA from 2 species